UAACUUUCUCUUUGAACUUGUUCUGAUGAGUUAUGAAACUGUUGAUAUAUCGAAUACUAGUGUCUUAUACAAGACACAAAUAUCGUAAUUCGAAAUUUUUACUUCUGAAUAUCAUCCCAAAUAUGAAAAUAUCAAAAAAAUCUGUUCAGUAGUACUUAAGUUUUCAAUAUUUAAUUAUGUCCAAUUUAAAUUGGUAUAUACUUUCUAAAACCUUUAGCUAUUUUUUUUUAUGUAAAUAAAAACAUGGUUCUAUCUAUUCUACCAAUUAGUUGGUAAGCAUUUUUUCAAAAAAAUAAAUCAAACAUUCACCAUAAACAAUUUGUAGAUUAAGUGAAAAAAUAAGAAAGAUUUGCAUGAUGGACCCAAAAGCUAAGAAAAAGACAAACUAAAACUAGAGCUAAAAUAAAAUAAAAUAAAAAAAGUUACAAAAAUUAUCCUAAAAAUGUCAAUCUUUCUUUCAUUGGAUAUUAGGAAAAUAUCAUUGUUGAGGGAACUUCCCAAAGUGACGAUUCAUUGCACUUCUUCCUUCACUUCCAUCGUCUCUCUCCAUCUCGACUAUAGGCUUCAGAUUUUUUGGGAUCGUGAAGAACGGGAUGUCGAAACGAGGACGCAUCCGCCGGGAACAGGUUCAACAUGUCACUGGGUCAGCCGGUGGCGGUGACGGUGAACUGCACCGAUAACACUGGUGCGAAGAACCUGUACAUCAUUUCCAUGGUGUUAGUUUCUCUCUUUCCAUCCAUCACUAGUCAAUGUUCAUUUGAGUUCGAGGUCACUGGUGAAUUUGGUUGUGGUGGAAUAGCUUAUUUCAGCUAGUCAUUGUCUCAGUCGCUGCUCAUAACGAGGAGCACUUUUAGAGACUUGAAGUUCAGCUCGACAAGUGAGAGUAUUUGGAGGUCAUUAGAAUGAGGUAUGCAAGAAAAAGAGUCAGGAGAAUCACCAAGACCAAGAAGACAUGCUAUAAAAGUACAACAAUUAGCAGAAUUAUGGAUCAUCAAUUCAUCACCCUUUGAUAAGUCUAACUCUAGUCUUUGAACAUUCCUAGAAAACACAAAUUUAAUACAUUUAUCAAUCUCAUGCUGCAUGGAUUUGUACAAAUCAAAACAAACCCGAAAUUGGUCUAGUCUCUGCACUUUACACAUUUGCAAAGUACAACUAACCCACCUAAGAUACUUCUUCAUUGCCUUUUCUGUAGGUUGGGGGUAAGGUUACUUUAUCCAAGGGUAUGGUAGCAUCAAAAUCAAGUCGAUAAAUGUUCCCCAAUCAUAGCCAUCGCCUUGAGAGGACACUUGUGUUAGAUGCUUCUUCAAUAGUAAGAAAAUAUAGUAUAUGUACUAAAGCGUCAUCAGGUAACUGACUUAGUAUUUUUGGAAACGUUGUGGAGUUCCAAUUAUAUCCACUCUUUCUCUAUUGAUAUUUCAUUAAAUGAUUUAAACAGUGUAUGGCCAUUGAUUGCAUUAAUGAGAAAACCAAGGAGUUGUCGUAGUACAUGAAUGUAUAUCUUUACAUGGACUAAUUUGAACAUCUAGAAUAUGACUGUAGUGAAAGCUCUGAAUGAAAUUAAGGCAUCUCUUGGAUGGAGAGUGGUGUAUGCAUGGGUUGGAGAUGAUCCUUGUGGAGAUAAUGAUUUACCUCCAUGGUAUGGUGUUACAUGUUCAAGGACGGUUGAUUAAAGAGUAGUUAUUGAAUUAAAAAAAUGACUAAUUCAAGUCAAACAAAUGCUGGAACAGUAAGUGCUGCAACAAAAAUGGUUGCACAUAAUCAUUCAAAUGCUGCCUUAGCACCGGCUGAAAAACCUGCAAAUUUUUCUGGAGUCGACUUUAAGAGAUGACAGCAAAAGAUGUUCUUCUAUCUCACUACGUUGAGUCUGCAGAAGUUCAUCAAUGAGAAUGUUCCUGUUAUGUCAGAUG